rnacentral:ncRNA from 2 species
AAGUUUCUUCGGGGCUGGGUGAAAAUCCCGACCGGCGGUGAUGAAGCAAUGCUUCUUAGUCCGUGACCCGACUCUUAGCAUUAGAGGCGGUGGACCUGGUGAAAAUCCGGGACCGACAGUGAAAGUCUGGAUGGGAGAAGGAACGA